rnacentral:lncRNA from 12 species
AAUUCUUGGAAUUGCCUGAAAUGGCAGGAAUGGGAAAGGAAAAGAAACUCUUGGAAGGGUUAUGAGCUUCCUUUGGAAAGGGAAUUCCUGCCCUGAUUCCCGCUGAGGAUCUGCAGGUUUUGAGUCCUUCCCACUGGAGCUGGGAAAGGGCUGGGAAUUUGGGAAUUUGGGAAAGGCUGGGAAACUCCUGCGGGAGCUGGGAAAGGCUGGAAAAGUCCAGAGGGAUUUGAGAAAGGGCUGAAAAAUUCCGGAGGGACCAGGGGGACGCCCCUCAUUCCCUUGGGAUGCAGAUGGGACUCCCAGAGGAGAGUGGGAUUUGUCAAAUUUUAGGAACGCCGGAGGAUUUGGUGUGGACGUGCCAUGGAUACGAAAGGGGCGAGAAAAGGCCGGAAUUCCGUGUCCGUGGCCAGUUUGUCCCAGCAGGAAACCACGGGAAAGGGGCUGGAAUUAAGGAGGGAAUUAUGGAAUGGUUGGGAUCUGGGAAAGAAGCGCCAGGAGAAGGUUUUGCACAUUCCAUGGGGAAGUUCUGGAUCCUUGGGAUAAGGAGGGGCUGGAACGUGGCCAGGGAAGGGAAAGGAGCAGGGAAGGGGCUGGAAAGCUCCGGAGGGAUUUGGGAAGGGGCUCAGCCUGGAGCCAAGAAGGCUCCAGGGGCACCUUCAGGACGGGCUUGGAGCUCUUUCCAACCCAAAGGGAUUUGGGAAGGGGCUCAGCCUGGAGCCAAGGAGGCUCCAGGGGCACCUUCAGGACAGGCUUGGAGCUCUUUCCAACCCACACCAUUCCAGGAUUCCGAAAUUCUGGAAUCCCUGUGCACGGAACGGGAAGGGAUCCGUGCAGGGAGAGCAGGGAAAAGCGGGAUCUGCGCCGGGAUCGGAGCAGAUCCCGAUCCCCGCUGGCUCCGGGCAGGAGCUGGGCAGAGCCAGAAGGACAUUCCCGAUCCCUGCCCCGAUCCCAGCGGAGCUCCCCUGGCCCCGAUCCCGGCGCAGAUCCCGCUUUUCCCUGCUCUCCCUGCACGGAUCCCUUCCCGAGGCACUGCCACCAUUCCGUGGGCAGGGAUUCCAGAAUUUCGGAAUCCUGGCCUGGCCUGGCUGGGAAGGAGCUCCAAACCCAUCCUGAAAAUCCCCCAGGAUCCAGGAGAUCCCACUGGGACAGCGCAGGCAGUUUCCCAAGUGUUUCCAUUCCCAGGAUUCAGGAAUUCCACCCUGGGUUGAUCCCAAACCUUCAGCUCCCAGAAUGGAUCCAGAGGAUCCCCCUGGAGCCGCAACAGCUCCA